rnacentral:rRNA from 1 species
CCUACGGGGGGCAGCAGUGAGGAAUAUUGGUCAAUGGACGAGAGUCUGAACCAGCCAAGUAGCGUGAAGGAUGACUGCCCUAUGGGUUGUAAACUUCUUUUAUAAAGGAAUAAAACGAGGCACGUGUGCCUUUUUGCAAGUACUUUAUGAAUAAGGAUCGGCUAACUCCGUGCCAGCAGCCGCGGUAAUACGGAGGAUCCGAGCGUUAUCCGGAUUUAUUGGGUUUAAAGGGAGCGUAGAUGGGUUGUUAAGUCAGUUGUGAAAUUUUGCGGCUCAACCGUAAAAUUGCAAGUGAUACUGGCAGUCUUGAGUACAGUUGAGGUAGGCGGAAUGCGUGGUGGAGCGGUGAAAUGCUUAGAUAUCACGAAGAACCCCGAUUGCGAAGGCAGCUUACUAAACGAUGACUGACAUUGAUGCUCGAAAGUGUGGGUAUCAAACAGGAUUAGAUACCCCUGUAGUC